GGAAAUUACAGUCACUUGACUGUUAGUGUUGCUCUCCACCAAUUGCAACUUAUUCAAAAUUGCAAAACAAAUCGCAAUUUGGUCAGAAUUUUGAAUAAGUUGCAAUUGGUGGAGAGCAACACUAACAGUCAAGUCACUGUAAAAGUAAUUGUGACUGGUGAUUACUGAUUAUUUGGCAUCGUGGAACACGUUUUGCUACCGGCUACUGUUAUUUUUUAAGCAAAUGGCAACCUUCAUUUUUCCAUUCCCCUGGGUCUUGAUUUUGUUUAGUUAUA
rnacentral:lncRNA from 1 species